UAUUGCUGGCAUCAGUAUUCAGAAAACAGCCCGCUGAUUAUUAAAACAGAUCAAUAAAAUGCUCUGCAAUGCUGCCAUCUAGUGACUUUCAUUUUCAUAUACAGCCGUUUUCCCCCAAAACUAUUUUUAGAGCACUUGUCAUUUGGAGAAACCCAGGCACAGGUUUAUCGGGUUUCCAUUAUCGGAGGAAAAACUGAUAAUGAUUCUUACAGAUAUUACAUGGUUGCGAUAAUAUCGGUCGGCCGAUAACAUCGUACAUCUCUACUUCAUUUGUACGACCUUGUUACCAAUCCUCUGCCCCAUAUAUUUACACAUCGGUUAAUGUGUAACCAAUACACUUCUGGUUGGUUAGUACUUUGCCACUGAAAUAUUCUACUGGGAAAUGAGGGAGGACUGAACACUGUCUUCCUCUGAAGCGGAGAGUCAUAUUUCUGAGCGUCUGGCAGCAUCCCACUCCUCCACCCUCGGCCUCUCCAUUCAUACGAGUGAGGCAGAGGAGGAGGAAGACUCGAGAGGGGCUACAGAAAAAGAGCACUUCAGGGAUGAAGCUGUACGUCAACAUACAACACACAGCCUGGCCUAAUUUGUUGACCACCCCCCACCACGUAAUGGACUUGUGACCUCAGCGUGGGCUACUUUUCCAGCUGCUGCAUGGCACAGAAACCCAGAGGCAGCAUUUCCACGGAUAUUAGAUAUAUAUACAUAUAUACAUAUAUAAAUAUAUACAUAUAUAAAUAUAUUAAAAUAUGUGUAUUUGUUCAAUAUAUGACAACCUUUUACAUAAAACUACAUUUUAUUUUCAUAAUCCAUGUUUUUUUUUUAAAUUAUAUCAGUCAAAAUAACAGUUAAUAAAUGAAACCAGCCACAUAUCAGCUGAUGUUAAAACUAACCAAAAACAUUCAAAUAUGACUCUUUAAUGGGGUUAAUGUUAUAUAAAAUCUGUCCACAUUUAGGCACAGUCGUCCUGAUUGGCCCAAAACCCAAAUGCAAACGAACCUCCUUUUCUGAGGCUGGACAAUCAGAGAAUAAGGUCAUAUUUCAUCGUUUGAAUCGACUCAGUGGGCCAAUCGUUCUUAGUCCUUCCUAAAAUGUCUUUAUGACAUCAUGCUGAACGCAGACGCUUGGUAAUUACCAGUCAUCCUGCACAGACCGAAAGAAGAAAAUAGUGACACAUUCACUAUUCAAAACACUAAAUCAGUUAAUCCAAGAUCAAGUCAUUUUGUAAAAAAAAAAAAAACAAUCAGAUACAGCUUUGACAACCGCUCAGUUUAAGGUGAGACGAUAACAAUGAUGGUUGUGUUUAAGGUAAAACAUGAGGUUGUGUAUGUAUGUAUGUAUCGUCAAAAUAUAUGAGAGUCAUUUUCAGAGUCCUAAAAAGAAGAGCAGUGUGUUUGCGAGUGGGCCGAGCAUCAAACAGCAUCACUGGGCUGCACACACUCAGCCUGUUUUUCAUUUGAGGGCAAAUAAGGGCUAUCUCUCCAGACAGUGGUUCACCUUAAGUCAACUCCUGGUCGUCCUGACUGAACUGCAGCUCUGUGAAGCAGCAGUGUUAGCACAGCACUGACCAACGUCAUAUAUGUCUAUGUCAACUAUUCUUUUUAGGGACUAGGCUUUUGAUCCUUUAUUUAUUUAUUUAUUUAUUGUAUUAUUAAUUAAUUACUGCACGCAUCCAUGCAAAACAAUAAGAAAUGCAUUUUUUUUAAAAAGAAUAGAGGUACAGAAAAUAAUUCAUUUUCCUAUACCAAAAUGCAUUAAACCAUAAUAUUGACUUUUAUUCUUGAUGCAGUAGAAAAAAAAAUGUUUUUGUUUACUUUCCUACUGAGAUAUAAUUCAAAAAUAUUAGUGUUGUUUGUUAGCAGCCCAGUGAAUCCAAACGUCACCAACACAUCGUUGAUUUCCUUCAUCCCAGCUGUUAAACCGAACCCCUGGUUUGAUCCCAUUGAUGAAAUCCAGGAUCGGUGUUACGCACACGGACAGACACUCCUCCUGGUUACACAACCGCACACACACAUUAACAUUUUAAAAACUCCAUCUGCACAUCCACAUCUAUGCUUCAGUCUCGGACCGUGGAGACAGACAGCAGAGCUGGGGUACAGUCCACCACCAUGUCCACCAUGUCCACACAAAGCAGCGGCGGACAACAGUGAAGUUUACGCAGCUGCAGGGCGCGUGUUUGGAAUGUACAGCGGGAUUGGG